AUUAUGCCAACCGGUGAAUGAGAUUUACGUGUGAGAGGUGAGCUUAUGUUAACUACUGUACGUAAACUAGUGGUAAAGUGAAAUUUAUGGAAAGUCAUUUGUCAGAUAACUGCGUGUGUGAUCGUAUCGUCGCGAUGUCAAAUUGUACAUGGUGUUAAAUGUUGCAGAACAAGACCAUCGUAAAGACAUCGCACUUAACAGGGAAGAGGAGAGAGGCGGUGUGAGAGGAUGAGUGGUCGCAAGAGAGGAGGCCGGCCCAAUCGGGGAGGAGGACGGUUCAACAAGCCCC